UACUGGUCAGCGGUCAUACUAAUAAAAGCUGCCGUGGGCUUCCUGUGGAUGCUGAUCAUGCGUGUCGAGCCUUUUUUUUCCCGCCUCUUUCAUCUGGAAUGCCAAACAUGGCUUCUUCUGGUAGGUACUAAGUUUAGAUUUGCUUUUGUUUUUCAAUUUAUAGGUAGGCGUGCCUUAAAAACGUUUUGUUUCUUUUAUUGUUUAUAAUGUGAAAGUUUUACACAAUAUUUUGAUAUUAUAAUUUCUCCCUUGCAGACUUGGUAGACAUUGAUUCGGACAGUUCAGAUUCUGUACUCCCUGAGGUAUCAUGGCUGACACCAUGUGCAGAGAAGGAUUACAAGGUCAAAAUGGAAGUCAUUGAAAUAUUCAGUUCCCCUGAAACCACACCUAUAAAAAACACUCCAGUUAUUACCCAUCAAGCACCACAGGG